rnacentral:sRNA from 14 species
AGCAAAAAUAAUUGCAAAUGACAAUUGUUAUUUAGACACAGCUUUGAAUGGAAUUGGUGGUAAUUUUUCAAUGAAUGGGACGGAAUAUUACAGUUGGUUUAGAACUACAU